CGGAGGAAAAGAAACUAACCAGGAUUCCCCUAGUAGCGGCGAGCGAAGAGGGAAAAGCCCUAUAUGAAAAGCCGAGUCGGCGUUGUAUGUAACUUCUGGGAUGUCAGUUUGGGUAAGUGGCAUGGAAAUGUCCACCGCGGAGGGUGAGAGUCCCGUCCAGCCCAUUCAGGACAUUUCGCACGAAGUUGCUCAUGAGUCGUGUAGCUUGGGACUGCUGCGCUAAUCGGUGGUAAAUCUCAUCGAAGGCUAAAUACUGGUAGGAGACCGAUAGUGAACAAGUACCGUGAGGGAAAGAUCAAAAGCACUUUGAAAAGAGGGUGAAAAGAACCUGAAACCGUUACGAAGGAAGCGUAUUGCGUUGAAUUGAUGGCUGUAAACUCUUCAGUUAGUCAGCGUACUGGGUAAUUAGUUAACCGUCGUGCCUUUUUUGUGGCUGAUUUUAGCUGCGGAAGAGGGAGGGAUCCCCUUUGGGUGAGGACGACGGUGCGGCAACGCGAUGCGACCCGUCUUGAAACACGGACCAAGGAGUCUAACACAGCUGCGAGUCGAAGGGUGGAAACCUGUAGGCGCAGUGAAAGCGAACUAUAAAACGGGCAGUUUGUGGCGGCAUAAAAUCGUUGAUUUUAGGUCUGACUAAGAGCAGUUGUGUUAGGACCCGAAAGAUGGUGAACUAUGCUUGAGUAGGCCGAAGGCAGAAGAAAUUCUGCUGGAGGGCCGAAGCGGUGCUGACGUGCAAAUCGCUCGUCGAACUCGAGUAUAGGGGCGAAAGACUAAUCGAACCAUCUAGUAGCUGGUUCCCUCCGAAGUUUCUCUCAGGAUAGCGGGCCGACAUUUAUUGUUUUGUGCGGUAAAGCGAAUGAUUAGCGUACUCGGGGGCAUCCAGCCUUCGGUCGAUUCUCAAACUUUUAAUGCGCAAGGGUGCUGCUGCUUUAUUGAGCGGUGCCUCUAAAAAUGUCGGCUUUGUGGGCCACUUUUGGUAAGCAGAACUGGCGAUGUGGGAUGAACCAUACGCGUGGUUAAGGCGCCAAAUUACUCGCUUAUAGACCCCACAAAAGGUGUUGAUUCAUCGAGACAGCAGGACGGUGGCCAUGGAAGUCGGAAUCCGCUAAGGAGUGUGUAACAACUCACCUGCCGAAUGGAUUAGCCCUGAAAAUGGAUGGCGCUGAAGCGGGUAGCCGAUACCACGCCGUCUGUUUUAGUGAACAGAUGAGUAGGAGGGCGUGGAGGUCGUAUCGAAGCAUGCGUGCGAACGUGUGUGGAACGGCCUCUAGUGCAGAUCUUGGUGGUAGUAGCAAAUAUUCAAGCGAGAUCCUUGAAGGGCGAAGCGGGGAAGGGUUCCACGCGAACAUUGAUUGGGCGUGGGUGAGUCGUUCCUAAGCCGCGUGGUAAUAGCUAUCAAACGGCGAAAGGGAAGCGGGUUGAAAUUCCCGCACACGGAUGUGGAGGCGGCGACGCUUUAUUGAGAUGAGCCCGUCGGCGGUUGCACUGGGCAGAGAUGUCUUUUCUGUUUAACCAGCUCGCGCGCUGUGUGGAAUCCGAUUAUCGGGAGAAACACGCGUACCGGGUAAGAGCGCCGGGACUUUUCCGGCGUCCAGCUCGCGACCGACGGCCCUUGAAAACUUAUCUACUGCAAAAAUCCACGCCGUGGCGUACCGAUAACCGCAUCAGGUCCCCAAGGUGAACAGCCUCUGCCUAAUAUGAACAAUGCAGGUAAGGGAAGUCGGCAAAUUAGACCCGUAACUUCGGGAAAAGGGUUGGCUCUAGUGCUGCGUGGGAGUGGUUGUCUGUUGUUGGCCGCCGUCGCUGAUGUUGUUGUAUCGGCGGGCUAUUGUGAUCGCUACGGACGACGCCCACAGCAUGCAGCGAACUAGAACUGCAACGGUCAAAGGGAAUCCGACUGUUUAAUUAAAACAAAGCAUUGCGAAGGCCAGGGAUGGUGAUGACGCAAUGUGAUUUCUGCUCAGUGCUCUGAAUGUCAAAGUGAAGAGAUUCAAUCAAGCGCGGGUAAACAGCGGGAGUAACUAUGACUCUCUUAAGGUAGCCAAAUGCCUCGUCAUCUAAUUAGUGACGCGCAUGAAUGGAUUAACGAGAUUCCUACUGUCCCUAUCUGCUUCUAGCGAAACCACAGCCGAGGGAACGGGCUCGGCAAAACCGGCGGGGAAAGAAGACCCUGUUGAGCUUGACUCUAUUCUAAUUUUGUGAAGCAAGCUGGGAGGUGUAGCAUAGGUGGGAGACGCAAGUCGACAGUGAAAUACCACUACUCCUAGUCUUGCUUUACUUACUGGGUUGUUGUGGCCGACUUUCAAGUCUUUUCUAGCAUCAACCGCAAGGGACCACAGCUCAGGACACAUUUAGGAGGGGAGUUUGGCUGGGGCGGUACAUCUUCUACAAGACAACGAAGGUGUCCAAAGAUAAGCUCAGUGAGAACAGAAAUCUCACGUCGAGCAAAAGGGUAAAAGCUUGUUUUAUUUUGAUUUUCAGUGCGAGUCAAAAAAUGGAAACAUUGGCCUAUCGAUCCUUUUAGUUUUCGAGAUUUGAAGCAAGAGGUGUCAGAAAAGUUACCACAGGGAUAACUGGCUUGUGGCGGCCAAGCGUUCAUAGCGACGUCGCUUUUUGAUCCU
rnacentral:rRNA from 1 species